UCGAGCGAGGCCCUGCCUUCGGGUGGGUGUUCUAGCGGCGAACGGGUGAGUAACACGUGGGCAACCUGCCCUCAGCUCUGGGAUAACUCCAAGAAAUUGGGGCUAAUACCGGAUAUGACCGCUGACCGCAUGGUCUGGUGGUGGAAAGAUUUAUCGGCUGGGGAUGGGCCCGCGGCCUAUCAGCUUGUUGGUGGGGUAGUGGCCUACCAAGGCGACGACGGGUAGCCGGCCUGAGAGGGUGACCGGCCACACUGGGACUGAGACACGGCCCAGACUCCUACGGGAGGCAGCAGUGGGGAAUAUUGCGCAAUGGGCGGAAGCCUGACGCAGCGACGCCGCGUGGGGGAUGACGGCCUUCGGGUUGUAAACCUCUUUCAGCAGGGACGAAGCGGAAGUGACGGUACCUGCAGAAGAAGCACCGGCC
rnacentral:rRNA from 1 species